GUGGGCGGUGUGCGGGUGUGGAUGGUGUGCGGGUGUGGAUGGUGUGCUUCUCAGUGUGUGCGAGACGGGGUGAGGCCCCGGCCUCCUGCGAGUGAGCAGAGCAGCUGACAGCUGGCGGAUUAAAUAAGCUGAUUGGCGAGGUCUGGAUCCAGGGCUUAGGACCUGCCCUGUGGAAACCUCCUGGAUCCAGAACUCAGAACAGCUGGUUCCCUUAGGAAAAUCUGGGUGCCAUUCCCAGAAGGGGUUGGGGAAUCUAUACACCAAAACAACCAACAACCAGGGCAGGAUUUGUGCACAUCUUGGACAUGAGGCAUCCCCCAGCCAACCUCUUUCCCCAGAGACAGUAAGCUUGUGCCUGUUCAAUGUCCCCCAUGAACUUGAUGAAGAUCCGGGUGCAGAUGCCCUCUGAGGAUGCAAGGCAUGGGCUGGAGGUGCUCCGUCUACACUGGCCUCAGCUCAGUCCUGGUCCAGAUGUCACGGACACCUCUCCUGCAGAGGGGACCACACAGGCACUGCAUUGAAUAAACACCGUCUUCCUUGGCCUGGGACUCUGGCGGGAGCACAUUCCUCUGUCCCACUUUGGCACACGUGGUCCCCUUGCAUUGGCCAAGGAUGUCCGCCCACCCGUCGCCUCCUGUUCCCUCUCCCCUUAUCAGCUGAAGAUGAACUUCGUGGAGCUCUCCUGUCAAACGAUGCACAAACUAUUCCCUUGUAGGGCAAAGACUUGUGGUUCUUUGCAACAAUAUUUCAUAAUUUAUAUAUUUGAUUAAAAACCGGAACCUGUGCCAGCAGUCCGCAUGGUCUAGCAUAUUGGGAUCAUUAGCUGCUUGUGUCACUCUUCUAUUUUAAAACUUUCCAUAUUUGAGCUUGUGGAUGUGCAUCCUUCACAUUUAUUAAACUUUUCCCAUAAAAACAGCUUAGUAAGUCUCCAUCAUCUUUCAUGGAAGAAAAGAAAAAUAAAAAGGUCCCAAUAAAACCCUGCAGACAUUUCCUUUAGGGAAUACCAUUUUAUUUGGCCNNNNNNNNNNNNNNNNNNNNNNNNNNNNNNNNNNNNNNNNAAUACCAGGACAAAUGAGAGUUUUAGUAGCACGAUAAUUGCUUCAAGAUGAGCUCUGUGACUUGGCUUCCUCCCUGGCCCUUUGCUGUACGCCUCCCAGGAGU
rnacentral:lncRNA from 1 species